AAUAAUUUUAAUUUCAAAUGAUAGACAAAGAUCACUUUACCAUAUGUGAAAAAAUAUCGAAAUGUGUUUAUUACACAUUAUCAGGAGCAAUAAAAUAAAUAUACCAAAAGGUCACUCUGGAAAAUGAUUUUGUGAAUAAAAUAACAUGGCAGGCUUCCCCUGAGAGAUAUAAAGCAUGAAACCACCAUGAAAAGAUUUAUCUCUCAGUUGAUUUUCUUCUCUGUAUCACUAAAAUACCAAACUCAGCUACUUACAUAAUAAUCAGUGUAACAGUCAUUUUUAAAUGUUUGAAUUAUCCUCUACUUCCCUUAAGAAAUAUAAUUUAAUAGGCAAUUCAGUGAAAAUAUACUAUUGAAAUGUUUGGACUAAAAUCAGCCAUGAGCUAAAGUCUGUUUUAUACUGUUCAGAUUUUUUGGGGGGAGGGGGUGGGGUCUUUGUUUUUCAUCAGUGAAUGCAAAUGAAACAUUUAGGAGACAGAGGUCAAACGGAAUGUCAAUGUGAAAUAUGAAUAAGACCAAUUUAUUCUGACUAGUAAGCUUUUGAACUUUACUAAAACAGUUUCGUGAUAGUAAAGGAUUUGAAUAUUUCACAUUUUUUAUUGCUAGUUUGAGAAAAAUUAUUAAAAUAUAAUUCCUUUCCAUCAAAAUGUUACACUGAAAAGGCUUAUUCUGAAACAAACAAAAAAUGAGAUUUACAAUCUCCAAUAGACAGCGAGGGAGGUAAAAGAAAAAAAAAAAGCAAGAAGAAUUUAAAAUAAAGAUACAGUUUGUAUUAGUUUUGUAUUGUUGUGGAACAAAUUGCCACAAAUUUAGCAGCUUAAAACAAUACUUAUUUAUUAUAUUACAGCUUCCAUAAGUCAGGAUUCCAGUCACAGCUUAGCUGGAUCCUCUCAGAAGGCUACGAUCAAGGUGUCAGCCAGACUGAGUUCUCAUCAGAGGCUCGACUAGGAGAGGAUCUGCUUCCAAGUUCCCUCAGGUUGUUGGAAGGAUUCAUUUUCUUGUGGCUAAGCUCACAGGAGCUUUCUUCUUCAAGGGCAUCAGGAGAGUGGAGAGCGAGUCUACUCAAAGACUUCUAUACAAAUCAUAAGACAUCAAGUACUCUUCAACUGCCUAUUGGGAGACAAUUUCCACAGCUCUCUCAUGUUUCUGCACAACUUGUAAGCAAGACAAGACUCUCUUAUCUUCUGGACUCUAUUUUCAAGAAUACUCAUAUAGUGAACAGUGUCUUCUUCCUGAGCGAAGGGCAUAAAUGCUACUUUCCAUUUUAAAAGAUUCAAGUUCCCUAAGCUCGGAAUUCUUCUGUAAUGCAACCCAUUGUGUGUGCAGGUAUCACCUGGCAUUCUUCCCAUUACCCUGUGGGAAUUGGAGCUCAGGGAACCUUCAUAGAAAUUCUGAUAGUCUAGCUACUGCUAUUUCUAUGAGUAAUAAAUUGUUUCUGACCUAGAAGUCUUGUGUCUUCUGCUGGCACCCAUGAAAUUAUGAGGCUAAAUUGUUAGAUUACAAGUGAGGUAAAAUCUUGGACGCUUCCCAGUUCUUGACACUGACUAAAAUACAUGCAUAUUCGUUUUAUCAAGUCAGUUUGAAAAAAAAUCUAUGAAUUAAAAUAAUUACAAAAUUCUAAGGACUGAAUUUGUAAUAUAUUGGAUGAACAAAACCCUCUACCUUGGUUCUGAAAUUCUUGAUAGUUGAGAUAUGUGUAACAUUUGUAAUUUGAAAUACACAAGUAAUUCUCUAUUUAAAAGGUCAUAUAUCCAAAGUAUUGAAAAAUCUAGAAUACAUUAAACUUUAGCUAUCCAUGGUGAAAGGCAGUGGCAAAACAGCUGCAGAAAAGCUGAAACUAGAUUCAAUUAAAUCUUUGUGCCAAAACCAAGUGCACAAAAAUCUCCCAAAGCUGUUAAAACUAUACAGCUUAUUUGCUAUAAAUUUUAUAAAUGGUUAAAUAAAACAAGUUUUGAAGUAAUUUGGUAAAUUGACAAAUUUUUCACUCAUUGAUUUGUUGUAGCUAAUGAGGGAUGGUGGGGAGUGGAGAAGGGUUCAGAGAACUUGGGAAGGAUAUAAAAAUGGAGGUAUGUGGGGCAAAUGCCCCCAACUACAUGUUUUAAUCAAGAACACCAGCCUAUGAUCAAGGGAAUUUUCAUAUACAGAUGAGAGCUAGUCUCACUUGAUCUUUCUGCAUUAAAACUGUUACAAAGCAACUUCUUUAUCAAAUGAAUACAAUCACAUUUAGUAGAGGCUCUAGUUAAGACCUGAGGCUAUACUGACCUGGGUUAGAGACCUGGCUUUUACAUUUUUACCUAAUCUCUCUAAGCCUUAAUUUCUCAGUUUUAAAAGUGCAGGUAAUCAUAGCAUGUGUUUCCCAAGGAUGUUGUAAAGAUUAGUGUCAGGAUGGCUGAGUGGUGUAAGGCACCAGACCCAAGGAUGUUGUAAGGAUUAAUUGAAAUAUCCACUUGAAUUGCUUAGCAUGAUACCUGCUAUGUAGAAAGUGCUUGAUAGCCUUAACAAUAUAUAUCAUUAAGAAAUUUCCUUGGAAUGGGAAUUUCAAACCACUUUAUCAAAUAUACUUACUUCCUCACUUACUUUUGUGGUUUGGUAGCUUUUUCUUUACACAUUUAGGAGGUGGGGAAGCACAGAGAUAUAGCACUUUCUUUUUUUUUUCUUUGAGACAGAGUCUCGCCCUGUCACCCAGGCUGGAGUGCAGUGGCGCCAUCUUGGCUCACUGCAACCUCCGCCUCCCAGGUUCAAGCUAUUCUCCUGCUUCAGCUUCCUGAGUAGCUGGGACUACAGGUGCACGCCACCAAGCCCGGCUAAUUUUUGUAUUUUUAGUAGAGAAGGGGUUUCACCAUGUUGGCCAGGAUGGUCUCGAUCUCCUGACCUCGUGAUCCACCCGCCUUGGCCUCCCAAAGUGCUAGGAUAACCGGUGUAAGCCACCGCACCUGGCCAGAUAUAGCACUUUCUAAAAGGUCUAUAAAUCUUUCUAAAGAUUAAUAUUGAGUGGGAUCAAUGUGUUUUAGGGAAUCCAGAUACUGCACACCACUUUGCAAAUGUUUAGAUUUUAGCAGAACAACAAAUGGACUUUGCAAAGACUGUCUUUUAAUUAUUAAACCUCUAUUUAUUAAAAAGAAAUUAGGCCAGGCACAGUGGCUCACGCCUGUAAUCCCAGAACUUUGGGAGGCCGAGGUGGGUGGAUCACCUGAGGUCAGGAGUUCAAGACCAGCCUGGCCAACAUGGUGAGACCACAUCUCUACUACAAAUACAAAAAUUAGUCGGGCAUGGUGGCAGGCACCUGCAAUCUCAGCUACUUGGGAGGCUGAAUGAAUUUACAGGUAGGAAGGCACACAUUAUAUAAGUUAAAAUUCAGUUCAACUAUGAGUGACAGAAAACCCUAAUGAGUGGUAGCUUAAACAUACAAUGUUUACUCCCUCAAACAAAAUGUCUGCCUGAUAUGUAGCUGAUGUGAGGCUCCAUGGUGUCAGGGUCCCAGGUUUCUUUUAUCUAUGGCUUUGCCAUCUUUAUCACAUGAACCAUAAUGACUGCUUGAGUUUCUUAUGGUCUAAAAUGGUUUCUUGAGUUUCCUAUCCCCAUCCAGUCAGGAAGAAAAAAAAAAAAAAAAAAAAGGAAUGACUGAUGAAGCGCUUGCUUUUAUUUUAAGAACACUUCCUGCAAGUUGCACAUACCAAUUCUGUUUGCAUUCUUUUGGCCACAACUUACCUACUUGGCCAUGCCUAGCUUCAAGAGAAGAGAAAUGUAGUCAUUAUUUUGAGUAGUUAUAUGUCCAGAUGGAAAUCAGGGGAGCUAUCACACACACACACACACACACACACACACACACACACACACACACACACACAAAGCACAAAACAGAUACUGGGGACAACUCAUCUUCUUUGCCUCAUACACUGAAAUUAAGCCAGAUUGGUCUUGUUUUUGAAAGAAAGUAACACUGUUAGUAAGAGAGACUUUGGUAUUGUCUAAUCAAACUUCUCUCUUUUUGUGGAUGAGACUCAUGUUGUCUGAGUUCAAGUUCAGAUAUCAUCCAUUCCUUGAGCUUGUAUGUGUGAUACUACACACUACAACCUAGCACAGAGAGGAUGAGAAGACAAGAAAUGAGAACUUAGGUGUUACUUAGUAUUUAUUUAUAAUAGUAGUUUUAAAAAUGCUGUCUUGACACAGUUUUGAGGCCCUGGAAAUAACAUUUUAAAGUAAAAACGUUAAAGUUUAAAGAAGAGCUUUGCCACUUAAACGGGGGAGUUUGUCUGGAAAAUAUAUUGAGUUGAAACACUUCAUCCUUGGAAGGAUUAUAUACGAUGAACAAUUGCAUAUAAAUGUGUGUUUUAGAGAGAUGUGAACGGGCAGUUAGUCCAGUGCCCUCAUUUAAGAGGCCAAAAUCCUGACUCAGAGGAGGUGUCCUUUGCCCAGAGCUUCUUAGCUAAUCUGACCAAAUGUUGGGAAAUAUAUCUUACCUAACCUACUAUUCCUUAAUUAUGGAUUUUGUGGAAAACAAUAAAACAUGUUAAUGAGUAAUUUAUAUUAGUUCAAUUUAUUACAAUUUUUUAGCUUUAAAUUACAGUUUUCUUAUAAUGAUGAAAUGUUUUAGAAUCCUUUGAAUCUAAGUAUUUACUUAUUUCCUAAAUAAAACAUUAGUACAACAUUUGAUGUUUUACUUAUGAAAUAUCCUCCUCUCCCAAGAUAAUUAAAACUUUUUCUUUCUAUUUAAAAGCUAAGAAAUGAUGUUUUAAAGGAAAAAUGAAAUUAUUUUCUUUUAGCUUCUUUUAAGGUAAAACAGCUUUUUUACUCUGUUAUUGUGGUAAUGGACAGAAAAUUGCAUACCAAAAUAUUCUGGGAGAGCAUUCUCCUAGUUGGUUUUAAAUCAUUGUGCUACCUGAAAGGUUUUUUGAUUUUGUAGGAGCUAUUUUGUCCACCAGCAUUAAUGUGACACUAGUUAUGAAAAUAUAUUGAAGGACAAGAAGUGGACACAAAGUGAUUUUUGUAACCUGGGCAGUUAAUGAAUGUGCCAACGUUUUCGAGGAAGGGACAGCAAGAAUAUUCUGCCCUGUAGUUAAAAUACUGGCUGGCUUUUAAUGUCUUCAUGCUUAAUCGUGAUCACUUUCUUGCACUGUGAUGUUUUUACGUGAACAUGUUAAAAUGGAAGUCUACCAUAUUACUUUAUAAAAUGUUUUCUGUAUGCCAGUAAACUGAAAAUAUGGAUCAACAACAACAACAAAAUGCGUCUUGACACAGUUUUGAGGCCCUAUGUAGGGGUUAGUCAAUUUUCACUGAGCAAUCGGUUAAGCCCAUAUCCCCAACCACCUCCCUUAUGAGACUCUCACCCUCCUGGCCACCAUACACUUUUCCUAAUUACUCUAAGGGCAGGUAUCAGAUAACCAGAGGCAGCUCCUAUACCCUGGAGCCCACUGAAAGUGCUCAAAUUAGUCAAUCCUAAGCCUGCGUAUCCUGCCUCAUCCAUUCCUUCCUGCAGAAACCACAAUAAAGACACUUGUCUUCCCUCUUCCUUUGCCUCACGACCAACCUUGGUGCUUCCCCUGAGUGGCCCUGUGUGGCAUAUUGUGUUCUUCCCAGAGAACUGUCAGUAUAAGAAACUGUAAAACUCUUUCUGGUUUCUGUCUGUUGAUCUGCAUCUGGCCUCACCAGGU
rnacentral:lncRNA from 1 species